rnacentral:rRNA from 1 species
CCUACGGGGGGCAGCAGUGGGGAAUAUUGGACAAUGGGGGGAACCCUGAUCCAGCGACGCCGCGUGAGUGAAGAAGUAUUUAGGUAUGUAAAGCUCUAUCAGCAGGGAAGAAAGAAAUGACGGUACCUGCCUAAGAAGCCCCGGCUAACUACGUGCCAGCAGCCGCGGUAAUACGGAGGGGGCAAGCGUUAUCCGGAUUUACGGGGUGUAAAGGGAGCGUAGAUGGCGAUGCAAGUCUGAAGUGAAAGGCGGGGGCUCAACCCCCGGACUGCUUUGGACACUGUCUGGCUGGAGUGCAGGAGAGGUAAGUGGAAUUCGUAGUGUAGCGGUGAAAUGCGUAGAUAUUAGGAAGAACACCAGUGGCGAAGGCAGCUUACUGGACUGUAACUGACGUUGAGGCUCGAAAGCGUGGGGAGCAAACAGGAUUAGAUACCCCAGUAGUC